GAUAGCUCAGUUGGUUAGAGUGUGGUGCUGAUAACGCCAAGGUUGCAGGUUUGAUCCCCGUAUGGGACA